UGAGGAAUAUUGGUCAAUGGGCGAGAGCCUGAACCAGCCAAGUCGCGUGAAGGAAGACGGUCCUAUGGAUUGUAAACUUCUUUAGUAGGUGAGUACAAGCAGUUACGUGUAGCUGUAAGCAAGUAACCUAAGAAUAAGUAUCGGCUAACUCCGUGCCAGCAGCCGCGGUAAUACGGAGGAUACGAGCGUUAUCCGGAUUUAUUGGGUUUAAAGGGUGCGUAGGUGGCUUCAUAAGUCAGUGGUGAAAAGCUGUGGCUCAACCAUAGUCUUGCCGUUGAAACUGUGGAGCUUGAGUGCGGAUGAGGUAGGCGGAACGCGUAGUGUAGCGGUGAAAUGCAUAGAUAUUACGCAGAACUCCGAUUGCGAAGGCAGCUUACCAAACCGCAACUGACACUGAAGCACGAAAGCGUGGGUAUCAAACAG
rnacentral:rRNA from 1 species